rnacentral:lncRNA from 1 species
AUUAAUCAAUCAUUGCCUUUUAAAAAAAAUUAAAUGUGAUAUAUUAAUGCCAUUAACUAAGAAUAAUUUUGAAUCACAAAUACAAAUUGCCAACUGAACCAAUGCCAAUGGAACGUACACUUGCAACUUGUAAACGAAGAGCCACUAGAAAAUCUUUUUGUGGUUAUUUUGGCUCCCUUAAAUUGAGGGAAAAGUCAAAAGGUAUUGUUUGACCUUUAUUACAAGGAUCAGCACGUUUAGCUUCAUAAUUCAUUCACAUUCUAUCUUCAUUUUCAAGUUUAACUUUCUCUUCUCUACUCAUCAACGUUCAUCAACAAUAAUGGAGGUCAGUUUUCUCAGCAA